rnacentral:scRNA from 1 species
CGCGCCGGUACCGGAGGUGCCAUUGAUGUAGA